rnacentral:lncRNA from 1 species
GUGGUUCAACUAUUACCCUCUAUAAUAGUAGCCUAGUCAACGUCCAAUACCAACUAGUAUUGGAGACUUACUUUUAUUAAACUUUUUCAAUUACAAUACAAGUUCCAACCACUUGAGCACGUUUGCUCCCUGUGCAAUUAUGCACCCUCAAGCACUUAUGCUUUCUUCAAACUUGAUUGUAAUAAUAUAAUAGCCCAAACCGGAUUAUAAUUUAGAGAAUAUUGAUUUGUAUAAGAAAUAUAAGAUACACAAUAGAGGUCUAAUGAUCAAGAAAUAAAUCACUUACCAAUGCAAGGUUCUAGUAUGUAAUGAAAAGCAAGAAAAUUAUUACCAGAGUAUUUUCUACAAGAUCACUUUUUGCAGUAGCUCAGUUAAUAGCAGUGAACAUUAAUCGGAAGAAUCACAAAUUUGUAGUAUAUAUGUAAUCAGUUUCAGUAGGUAAUUCUUGCGUCGUUCUUAUCGAUAGUUUUAGUCCUUUUAUAGCCAAUCAUGAGAAGUUACCAUUGCAUAGAAUUAAUGUGUAGAGUAAAUCUACACACACAUCCAAUUUACACUUUCCUUACCGAUACGCGGGAGCUCGGGUCGUUUUGAAUGUUUUUUCCUUUCUGUUCCAUAUCUCACCACGCCUCCUCUUCCUCCUCCUCCGUUAACUGUUCUCUGUCCCAAUUUCUCUCAAAUCCAAUCAUGGGGUUUUAAGCCAAUGAAAAACUUGAAAACCCAAAAAUUGAUUAGAAAUCAUCCUAUUUUCGUUAUAAUUCCCCAUUAGUCAAAGUGGGUCUGAUUGGAUUGAAAGUAUAGAAAUACAAUAUAAAUAUUAUGCACAUGUAAGUGCAUGUAAUUGAAGCAACAUGUGCAAAUUAGAACUUUAAUGUUAAAGAAAAUCAGUACAUAACUCCCACCGCUUCGAAAUCUUGAGAACAAAUUCCCCAACUUCUUCCGUUAUAAUCUUCGUCAUCUUCUUCUUCGUCUCCAAAUUGUAAUAAAUUCGUGGCAAACCUAGAAAUCUUCGUCACUGCCUUAUUAGAGGAAAGCAAUGAGAGACUCGUUUUGAAGCAGGGAGGGACGGAGGAGGGAGGUGGUGGAGCGAAGAAGUCGGCGACGCCGCGGAGUUGGCGGCCGAUAGUUUGGCCGAGGACGGAGAGGUCUUCUUUGACGGUGAGAGGUGUAGUAAGGUAUUGAUCUUGGUGAUCUUCUUCUGCUAAGGAUUUGAAGGGAUUUCUUCAUCAGAUGAAAACAAUUUGCUUGGAGAAGGGAGAGAAAUUGGGACACAGGACAAUUAAUAGAGGAGGAGUAGGAGUGGUGAGAUGUGGGACAUAAAAUAAAAAAAAAUAUCCAAAACGACCCAAGCUCCAGCGUAUCGGUAAAGAGAGUGUAAAUAAGAUGUGUGUGUAGAUUUACUCUUAAUGUG